GAUAAACGCUGGCGGCGUGCCUAACCCAUGCAAGUCGAGCGAUCUGUAGCAAUACAGAGAGCGGCGGAAGGGUGAGUAACACGUAGAAAUCUGCCUCGUCGGAGGGAACAACCCCGCGAAAGUGGGGCUAAUACCCAAAAGCAUCCGCAAGGAUGAGAGUCGAAAGGCCUGACGAGAGGAGUCUGCGGCCCAUCAGCUAGUUGGUGAGGUAAAAGCUUACCAAGGCUACGACGGGUAGGGGUCUGAGAGGACGUCCCCCACACUGGAACUGAAACACGGUCCAGACACCUACGGGAGGCUG
rnacentral:rRNA from 1 species